GGCCGGUUGGCCUAGUGGUAAGGCGUACGCCUCCUAUGCGAGCGUAAGACCGUGGGUUCGAAUCCCACAUCGGUCG
rfam:Aspergillus versicolor CBS 583.65 unplaced genomic scaffold ASPVEscaffold_7, whole genome shotgun sequence.